rnacentral:rRNA from 1 species
GCUUAGCCCUAAACAUAGACAAUACUAACACAAUAUUGUCCGCCAGAGAACUACAAGUGAAAAACUGGAAACUCUAAGGACUUGGCGGUACCCCACAUCAGCCUAGAGGAGCCUGUCCUAUAAUCGAUAAUCCACGCUGUACCUUACCAUUUCUAGAAACUCAGCCUAUAUACCGCCGUCGAAAGCUUACCCUAUGAAAGAAACAAAGUAAGCAAAAUAGUUAAUAACUAAAACGUCAGGUCAAGGUGUAGCACAUGAAAUGGAAGAGAUGGGCUACAUUUUCUACUUCAGAAAAUACGAACAGCACAAUGAAAUCUAUGCUCAAAGGCGGAUUUAGUAGUAAGGUAAAAAAGACAUUUUACCUUAAACCCGCUCUGGGG